rnacentral:tRNA from 1 species
GGUAUAGUUCAGUGGUAGAGCGUCAGAUUGUGGCUCUGAAUGGCGUGGGUUCGAGUCCCACUAC